CCUACGGGAGGCUGCAGUGGGGGAUAUUGCACAAUGGGGGAAACCCUGAUGCAGCGACGCCGCGUGGGCGAAGAAGUAUUUCGGUAGGUAAAGCCCUAUCAGCAGGGCAGAAGAAAUGACGGUACCUGAGUAAGAAGCACCGGCUAAAUACGUCCCAGCAGCCGCGGUAAUACGUAGGGUGCAAGCGUUAUCCGGAGUUACUGGGUGUAACGGGAGCGCAGGCGGCAAGGCAAGACUGAUGUUAAAGCCCGCGGCUCAACCGCGGUACUGCAUUGGGAACUACCGGGCUGGAGUGCCGGAGAGGUAGGCGGAAUUCCUAGUGUAGCGGUGAAAUGCGUAGAUAUUAGGAGGAACAUCAGUGGCGAAGGCGGCCUACUGGACGGUGACUGACGCUGAGGCUCGAAAGCGUGGGGAGCAAACAGGAUUAGAUACCCUAGUAGUC
rnacentral:rRNA from 1 species